rnacentral:rRNA from 1 species
ACAUGCAAGUCGAACGGUGAACACGGAGCUUGCUCUGUGGGAUCAGUGGCGAACGGGUGAGUAACACGUGAGCAACCUGCCCCUGACUCUGGGAUAAGCGCUGGAAACGGCGUCUAAUACUGGAUAUGUGACGUGACCGCAUGGUCUGCGUCUGGAAAGAAUUUCGGUUGGGGAUGGGCUCGCGGCCUAUCAGCUUGUUGGUGAGGUAAUGGCUCACCAAGGCGUCGACGGGUAGCCGGCCUGAGAGGGUGACCGGCCACACUGGGACUGAGACACGGCCCAGACUCCUACGGGAGGCAGCAGUGGGGAAUAUUGCACAAUGGGCGCAAGCCUGAUGCAGCAACGCCGCGUGAGGGACGACGGCCUUCGGGUUGUAAACCUCUUUUAGCAGGGAAGAAGCGAAAGUGACGGUACCUGCAGAAAAAGCGCCGGCUAACUACGUGCCAGCAGCCGCGGUAAUACGUAGGGCGCAAGCGUUAUCCGGAAUUAUUGGGCGUAAAGAGCUCGUAGGCGGUUUGUCGCGUCUGCUGUGAAAUCCGGAGGCUCAACCUCCGGCCUGCAGUGGGUACGGGCAGACUAGAGUGCGGUAGGGGAGAUUGGAAUUCCUGGUGUAGCGGUGGAAUGCGCAGAUAUCAGGAGGAACACCGAUGGCGAAGGCAGAUCUCUGGGCCGUAACUGACGCUGAGGAGCGAAAGGGUGGGGAGCAAACAGGCUUAGAUACCCUGGUAGUCCACCCCGUAAACGUUGGGAACUAGUUGUGGGGUCCAUUCCACGGAUUCCGUGACGCAGCUAACGCAUUAAGUUCCCCGCCUGGGGAGUACGGCCGCAAGGCUAAAACUCAAAGGAAUUGACGGGGACCCGCACAAGCGGCGGAGCAUGCGGAUUAAUUCGAUGCAACGCGAAGAACCUUACCAAGGCUUGACAUAUACGAGAACGGGCCAGAAAUGGUCAACUCUUUGGACACUCGUAAACAGGUGGUGCAUGGUUGUCGUCAGCUCGUGU